rnacentral:rRNA from 1 species
UACGUAGGGGGCAAGCGUUGUCCGGAAUCACUGGGCGUAAAGCGCGCGUAGGCGGUCAUCUAAGUCUGGGGUGAAAGCCCGGAGCUCAACUCCGGGAUUGCCUUGGAUACGGGAUGACUUGAGGAUCGGAGAGGCAAGGGGAAUUCCACGUGUAGCGGUGAAAUGCGUAGAGAUGUGGAGGAACACCUGUGGCGAAGGCGCCUUGCUGGCCGAUUUCUGACGCUGAGGCGCGAAAGCGUGGGGAGCAAACAGG